GAUGAUGCGCCUGGCGCGGGACACGGUGCACAGGAGCUGCGCCUUGAUGGCGUGGCAGAUGGCGAUGUACCGCUCCACCGUGAAGGCAGCGAUGGACCAGGCAGAGAUGUUGAUGCCCAGGUACUGCAGGAAUUUGCUUUGUGGGAUCAGGAAACAAAACCAAGACAAACUCCUGCAGACAGUGGAAAAAGCUUUGUUUUGGUUCGGACCUGGAACACUGUGCAGGAUAAUUGCAGCAUUUCCUUCUCUGCUGGCAUUGCCUGGCACUGCCAUCCUCUGUGAAUAUCUGCCACCACCUGCUCUGAAACAUGAGGAAAGAGAAGUCCUCACUUUCCUGAGGUCCCCAGAUGGAAAAGGUUGUGUCCCUGGAUGCUGAGUCACAGCCAAGAAGUAAAAUUGCUUUGGGGCUUUCUGGAUUAUUGCCCUCAGAGAUCAAGCCAAAAAGGCAGCUGUCAAGGAAUUAAACAGAUGCAAAAUCGGUCUG